AGAAAGAAUGGCAGCGAAAAUGGCGAGGAACAUGCUUAGAAAAGUAUUUUGUUGCCUCCCACUUUUUAGAAAAAAACGACUUGUGAAAGAUAAAGAAGUUGUUAUUCUGGUUCAACCAGAAGAACAACAGCAUCAACCCACUGAAACCAUCUGCGAGGUAAGCAAAACGGAGAAGCUGCAAAUAUCUCUUUCCUCUUCUGUCUUCUUUCCU